GAUGAACGCUGGCGGCGUGCCUAAUACAUGCAAGUCGAGCGAACGGACGAGAAGCUUGCUUCUCUGAUGUUAGCGGCGGACGGGUGAGUAACACGUGGAUAACCUACCUAUAAGACUGGGAUAACUUCGGGAAACCGGAGCUAAUACCGGAUAAUAUAUUGAACCGCAUGGUUCAAUAGUGAAAGACGGUCUUGCUGUCACUUAUAGAUGGAUCCGCGCUGCAUUAGCUAGUUGGUAAGGUAACGGCUUACCAAGGCAACGAUGCAUAGCCGACCUGAGAGGGUGAUCGGCCACACUGGAACUGAGACACGGUCCAGACUCCUACGGGAGGCAGCAGUAGGGAAUCUUCCGCAAAGGGCGAAAGCCUGACGGAGCAACGCCGCGUGAGUGAUGAAGGUCUUCGGAUCGUAAAACUCUGUUAUUAGGGAAGAACAAAUGUGUAAGUAACUGUGCACAUCUUGACGGUACCUAAUCAGAAAGCCACGGCUAACUACGUG
rnacentral:rRNA from 1 species